CGGGGGGGGGGGGGUCCCUCAGCCCAGAUUGUGAGAGGGUACAGGCCAGGCCAAGGGACCCCACAGGUGCACA
rnacentral:pre_miRNA from 1 species